rnacentral:rRNA from 1 species
CAAAAACAUGUCUUUUAGAUUAUAAUUUAAAGUCUAACCUGCCCACUGAUUUAAUUAUUUAAAGGCCGCAGUAUUUUGACUGUGCAAAGGUAGCAUAAUCAUUUGUCUUUUAAUUGAAGGCUGGAAUGAAUGGUUGAAUGAAGUAUUAACUGUCUCAAUUUUAUAAAUUAAGAAUUUAGCUUUUUAAUUAAAAGGUUUAAAUGAAAUUAAAAGACGAGAAGACCCUAUAGAUUUUUAUAAUAUUUAAUAUUAAUUUUAUUAAGUAAAAAAUUUUAUGAUUAUAUUAUUUAUUAUUUGAUUGGGGUGAUUAAAAAAUUUAAUAAACUUUUUUUUUAUAUAAACAUUAAUAUAUGAUUAUUUGAUCCAAUUCUAUUGAUUAAAAGAUUAAAUUACCUUAGGGAUAACAGCGUAAUUUUUUUAGAGAGUUCUUAUCGAUAAAAAAGAUUGCGACCUCGAUGUUGAAUUAAAGAUUAUUUUUAAAUGCAGAAGUUUAAAGUUUAGGUCUGUUCGACCUAUGAAUCUUUACAUGAUCUGA